GUGCCAGCAGCCGCGGUAAUACGGAGGAUCCAAGCGUUAUCCGGAUUUAUUGGGUUUAAAGGGUGCGUAGGCGGUAGCUUAAGUCAGUGGUGAAAGUUUGCAGCUCAACUGUAAAAUUGCCAUUGAAACUGGGUUACUUGAGUAUGGUAGAGGUAUGCGGAAUGCGUUGUGUAGCGGUGAAAUGCUUAGAUAUAACGCAGAACCCCAAUUGCGAAGGCAGCAUGCUGGACCAUUACUGACGCUGAGGCACGAAAGCGUGGGGAUCAAACAGGAUUAGAAACCCUAGUAGUCC
rnacentral:rRNA from 1 species